rnacentral:rRNA from 1 species
GAUGAACGCUGGCGGCGUGCCUAAUACAUGCAAGUCGAACGCACAGCGAAAGGUGCUUGCACCUUUCAAGUGAGUGGCGAACGGGUGAGUAACACGUGGACAACCUGCCUCAAGGCUGGGGAUAACAUUUGGAAACAGAUGCUAAUACCGAAUAAAACUCAGUGUCGCAUGACACAAAGUUAAAAGGCGCUUUGGCGUCACCUAGAGAUGGAUCCGCGGUGCAUUAGUUAGUUGGUGGGGUAAAGGCCUACCAAGACAAUGAUGCAUAGCCGAGUUGAGAGCCUGAUCGGCCACAUUGGGACUGAGACACGGCCCAAACUCCUACGGGAGGCUGCAGUAGGGGAGCUUCCACAAUGGGCGAAAGCCUGAUGGAGCAACGCCGCGAGUGUGAUGAAGGCUUUCGGGUCGUAAAGCACUGUUGUAUGGGAAGAACAGCUAGAAUAGGGAAUGAUUUUAGUUUGACGGUACCAUACCAGAAAGGGACGGCUAAAUACGUGCCAGCCGCCGCCGUAA